UUGUUCUUUAAAUGGGGACUUGUAUCAACGGCAUCACGAGGGUUUUACUGUCUCCUUUUUCUAAUCAGCGAAACUAAUCUCCCCGUGAAGAAGCGGGGAUAUUUAUAUAAGACGAGAAGACCCCAUGGAGCUUCAAACCCAAUUACACCCCCCCCCCCCC
rnacentral:rRNA from 1 species